rnacentral:rRNA from 1 species
GAUGAACGCUGGCGGCGUGCCUAAUACAUGCAAGUCGAGCGAACAGAUAAGGCGCUUGCUCCUUUGACGUUAGCGGCGGACGGGUGAGUCACACGUGGGUAACCUACCUAUAAGACUGGAAUAACUACGGGAAACCGGGGCUAAUGCCGGAUAACAUGUUGAACCGCAUGGUUCUACAGUGAAAGGCGGCUUUGCUGUCACUUAUAGAUGGACCCGCGCCGUAUUAGCUAGUUGGUGAGGUAACGGCUCACCACGGCAACUAUACGUAGCCGACCUGAGAGGGGGAUCGGCCACACUGGAGCUGAGACGCGGUCCAGACGCCUGCGGGAGGCAGCAGUAGGGAAUGUUCCGCAAUGGGCGAAAGCCUGACGGAGCAACGCCGCGUGAGUGAUGAAGGUCUUCGGAGCGUAAAACUCUGUUAUUAGGGAAGAACAAAUGCGUAAGUAACUGUGCGCGUCGUGACGGUACCUAAUCAGAAAGCCACGGCUAACUACGUG